CUAGAAAGAUUCCGGUUGAUCCUGCCAGACCCUACUGCUAUCGGGAUAGGACUAAGACAUGCUAGUCAAGCGCUCACCAGCCAAAGGUGAGUGCGGCGCACAGCUCAGUAGCACGUGGCUAACCUGCCCUUGGGAUAGGGACAACCCCGGGAAACUGGGGCUAAUCCCCAAUAGGCGAAGGCUCCUGGAAUGGACCUUUACCCGAAAGGAUUCUUGCACUAUGCUUGCAAGAUUCGCCCAAGGAUGGGGCCGCGACCGAUCAGGUUGUUGGUGAGGCAACGGCUCACCAAGCCUAUAACCGGUGCGGGCCGUGGGAGCGGGAGCCCGGAGAUGGGCACUGAGACAAGGGCCCAGGCCCUACGGGGCGCAGCAGUCGCGCAAACUUUGCAAUACACGAAAGUGUGACAGGGCUAUCCCGAGUGCCGUCCGCUGAGGAUGGCUUUUACCCAGUCUAGAACGCUGGGGGAAUAAGGAGAGGGCAAGUCUGGUGUCAGCCGCCGCGGUAAUACCAGCUCUCCGAGUGGUGUGGAUGUUUAUUGGGCCUAAAGCAUCCGUAGCUGGCCAAGUUAGUCCCUUGUUAAACCCACCGAAUUAAUCGUUGGCGUGCGGGGGAUACUGCUCGGCUAGGGGACGGGAGAGGCAGACGGUAUUCUCGGGGUAGGGGUGAAAUCCUAUAAUCCCGAGAAGACCACCAGUGGCGAAGGCUGUCUGCUAGAACGCGCCCGACGGUGAGGGAUGAAAGCUGGGGGAGCGAACCGGAUUAGAUACCCGGGUAGUCCCAGCUGUAAACGAUGCAGGCUAGGUGUUUGGACGGCCACGUGCCGUUCUAGUGCCGCAGGGAAACUGUUAAGCCUGCCGCCUGGGGAGUACGGUCGCAAGAUUGAAACUUAAAGGAGUUGGCGGGGGAGCACCACAAGGGGUGAAGCUUGCGGUUUAAUUGGAG
rnacentral:rRNA from 1 species